CGCCGCAAUAAACGCUUCAAACUCCGCUAUUACAACAAACUACAACUGGCAAGACGAAACUCCAGCAACAGAUCCAGCAAGACGGUGCACUUCCCUAUGCGCAUUUAAGAGGACUAACCCUUAUCUGGCCCUGAUUCAACACUGAUUAGAGCAAGAUACCUUCCAGAGUAUUACAAAAAAUACUCUGGAAAGCCCCGCCCACCAACUUUCCCGGUCAAACUGAGAAUGUGGAUUCUGGCAUCGCCAUCUUCCUCACAUCGAAAUACUGUGAUUGUUCUUUAAUGCACUGUGGUUCUCUGGUGAUACCAUCAUGUUGAUCAAAACACUCCUGUCAUCCAGCACCAACCAAGAUCUUUGCCAUUGUGAUAAGAUGAG
ensembl:lncRNA